UACGUAGGCAGCGAGCGUUGUUCGGAGUUACUGGGCGUAAAGAGUAUGUAGGCGGUUCUCCAAGUCUGGUGUGAAAUCUCCCGGCUCAACCGGGAGGGUGCAUUGGAAACUGGGGGGCUGGAGUGCGGGAGAGGGAAGCGGAAUUCCUGGUGUAGCGGUGAAAUGCGUAGAUAUCAGGAGGAACACCCGCGGUGUAGACGGCUUCCUGGACCGUAACUGACGCUGAGAUACGAAAGCGUGGGGAGCAAACAGG
rnacentral:rRNA from 1 species